rnacentral:rRNA from 1 species
AUACACCUGUUCCCAUUCCGAACACAGAAGUUAAGCUCUCUAGCGCUGAUGGUACUUGGUGGGAAACCGCCUGGGAGAGUAGGACAUAGCCAGGUA